AAACGACAACUGACAACUCUACUCCACUCACCCAAAAACCUUAGCCCCUUCCCCUCUUCUUUUCUCUUUCUUUUCUUUUUUCUUCCUUUUCUUCUUUUCCCACAGGUUUCUUCCUUGCGAGAUCUGCCUAUCAGGUUUCUUUGUUGUUGUCUCGCCAACGCCGUCCAGCCAAUCGUAACACAGAUCGAUGUCGUUGUCGUGCUAAGAUCCCCUAUGUCAGUUUUCUUACGUUUCUUAAUCCGGAGUUGAAGAUAAAAGGUGCAAGGUCUCAAUAUGGCCGGAUAUGUUUAAAACUGGAGAGACGAUGAUGUCCAGGAUGAUGAUAGGUGAAGCCGAAGACGUGGGUAUAGCAUAAAGAGCAACCACGAAAAUAACAACACGGAGAGCAAUACAUGGAAAGUGACACGUCAACACUUAACACUGUCUCCGGCGAGGUUUCGAACAUCGUGUUAUAAUUAUCAUCAUUGUUAUGUGUUGUUAUCUUACUUUGUAAAUAUUUCUCAAAGUAAUAGGGAAAG
rnacentral:lncRNA from 1 species